rnacentral:sRNA from 1 species
UUGUUUGAAAGAUUCUUUAAGCCUUUGUGAACAAGAAAAGAGCUUUACCUCAAUUAAAACACAAAUAUAUGGAGGCGUUAUAAUUCACAUCUGCUACAUAACAAACUUUGUGGCUGUAGACUAUUGUGGAAUUGACAAUGUACUUUAUAAAAUAAAUGAUUCUGAAGACAAAGAGGAUUUAUAUGUCAGUGUUGAACAGUUUUGUGUUGAACAGUUUUAUAUCAGUACAAAGUACUUCAUGCAAAUAUAUUUUAGAAAUGUAACGCAGGAAAAAAACAGCACGAUUCUGUUGAAAACCACUCGCAGUCAAAUUUUGAACUAUACAGUAGAAGUCUCAUUUUCAAAAGAAAAAGUCUACGAAUUAUUAAACUGUGAUGGGCAUGA